rnacentral:rRNA from 1 species
ACGAACGCUGGCGGCGUGCUUAACACCUGCCAGUCGCACGGAAAGGCCCUGCUUUUGUGGGGUGCUCGAGUGGCGAACGGGUGAGUAACACGCGAGUAACCUGCCCUUGACUUUGGGAUAACUUCAGGAAACUGGGGCUAAUACCGGAUAGGAGCUCCUGCUGCAUGGUGGGGGUUGGAAAGUUUCGGCGGUUGGGGAUGGACUCGCGGCUUAUCAGCUUGUUGGUGGGGUAGUGGCUUACCAAGGCUUUGACGGGUAGCCGGCCUGAGAGGGUGACCGGCCACAUUGGGACUGAGAUACGGCCCAGACUCCUACGGGAGGCAGCAGUGGGGAAUAUUGCACAAUGGGCGGAAGCCUGAUGCAGCAACGCCGCGUGCGGGAUGACGGCCUUCGGGUUGUAAACCGCUUUCGCCUGUGACGAAGCGUGAGUGACGGUAAUGGGUAAAGAAGCACCGGCUAACUACGUG